GAUGAACGCUGGCGGCGUGCCUAAUACAUGCAAGUCGAGCGAACGGACGAGAAGCUUGCUUCUCUGAUGUUAGCGGCGGACGGGUGAGUAACACGUGGAUAACCUACCUAUAAGACUGGGAUAACUUCGGGAAACCGGAGCUAAUACCGGAUAAUAUUUUGAACCGCAUGGUUCAAAAGUGAAAGACGGUCUUGCUGUCACUUAUAGAUGGAUCCGCGCUGCAUUAGCUAGUUGGUAAGGUAACGGCUUACCAAGGCAACGAUGCAUAGCCGACCUGAGAGGGUGAUCGGCCACACUGGAACUGAGACACGGUCCAGACUCCUACGGGAGGCAGCAGUAGGGAAUCUUCCGCAAUGGGCGAAAGCCUGACGGAGCAACGCCGCGUGAGUGAUGAAGGUCUUCGGAUCGUAAAACUCUGUUAUUAGGGAAGAACAUAUGUGUAAGUAACUGUGCACAUCUUGACGGUACCUAAUCAGAAAGCCACGGCUAACUACGUGCCAGCAGCCGCGGUAAUACGUAGGUGGCAAGCGUUAUCCGGAAUUGUUGGGCGUAAAGCGCGCGUAGGCGGUUUUUUAAGUCUGAUGUGAAAGCCCACGGCUCAACCGUGGAGGGUCAUUGGAAACUGGAAAACUUGAGUGCAGAAGAGGAAAGUGGAAUUCCAUGUGUAGCGGUGAAAUGCGCAGAGAUAUGGAGGAACACCAGUGGCGAAGGCGACUUUCUGGUCUGUAACUGACGCUGAUGUGCGAAAGCGUGGGGAUCAAACAGGAUUAGAUACCCUGGUAGUCCACGCCGUAAACGAUGAGUGCUAAGUGUUAGGGGGUUUCCGCCCCUUAGUGCUGCAGCUAACGCAUUAAGCACUCCGCCUGGGGAGUACGACCGCAAGGUUGAAACUCAAAGGAAUUGACGGGGACCCGCACAAGCGGUGGAGCAUGUGGUUUAAUUCGAAGCAACGCGAAGAACCUUACCAAAUCUUGACAUCCUUUGACAACUCUAGAGAUAGAGCUUUCCCCUUCGGGGGACAAAGUGACAGGUGGUGCAUGGUUGUCGUCAGCUCGUGUCGUGAGAUGUUGGGUUAAGUCCCGCAACGAGCGCAACCCUUAAGCUUAGUUGCCAUCAUUAAGUUGGGCACUCUAAGUUGACUGCCGGUGACAAACCGGAGGAAGGUGGGGAUGACGUCAAAUCAUCAUGCCCCUUAUGAUUUGGGCUACACACGUGCUACAAUGGACAAUACAAAGGGCAGCGAAACCGCGAGGUCAAGCAAAUCCCAUAAAGUUGUUCUCAGUUCGGAUUGUAGUCUGCAACUCGACUACAUGAAGCUGGAAUCGCUAGUAAUCGUAGAUCAGCAUGCUACGGUGAAUACGUUCCCGGGUCU
rnacentral:rRNA from 1 species